AAUGAACGCUGGCGGCAUGCCUAACACAUGCAAGUCGAACGAAGGCUUCGGCCUUAGUGGCGCACGGGUGCGUAACGCGUGGGAAUCUGCCCUCAGGUUCGGAAUAACAGCGAGAAAUUGCUGCUAAUACCGGAUGAUAUCGCGAGAUCAAAGAUUUAUCGCCUGAGGAUGAGCCCGCGUAGGAUUAGCUAGUUGGUGUGGUAAAGGCGCACCAAGGCGACGAUCCUUAGCUGGGCUGAGAGGCUGAUCCCCAACGACGGCACUGAGACACGGGCCGUACACCUACGGGUGGCAGCAGCCGAGAAUAUUCGACAAUGGGCGAAAGCCUGAUCGAGCGACGCCGCGUGCAGGAAGAAGGUUUUCGGAUUGUAAACUGCUUUUCUACGGGAAGAACCAAUGACGGUACCGUAGGAAUAAGGAGCUGCAAACUACGUGCCAGCCGCCGCUGUAA
rnacentral:rRNA from 1 species